rnacentral:rRNA from 1 species
GGAAUCUUGCGCAAUGGGCGAAAGCCUGACGCAGCAACGCCGCGUGCGGGAUGAAGGCCUUCGGGUUGUAAACCGCUUUCAGCAGGGACGAAAUUGACGGUACCUGCAGAAGAAGCCCCGGCCAACUACGUGCCAGCAGCCGCGGUAACACGUAGGGGGCAAGCGGUGUCCGGAUUUAUUGGGCGUAAAGAGCUCGGAGGCGGUUUCGUAAGUCGGGGGUGAAAACUCUAGGCUCAACCUAGAGACGCCACCCGAUACUGCGAUGACUAGAGUCCGGUAGGGGAGUGUGGAAUUCCUGGUGUAGCGGUGAAAUGCGCAGAUAUCAGGAGGAACACCAACGGCGAAGGCAGCACUCUGGGCCGGAACUGACGCUGAGGAGCGAAAGCGUGGGUAGCGA